rnacentral:rRNA from 1 species
GAGGAAUAUUGGUCAAUGGGCGGGAGCCUGAACCAGCCAAGUAGCGUGCAGGAUGACGGCCCUAUGGGUUGUAAACUGCUUUUGAGGGGGAAUAAAGUGAGUGACGUGUCACUCAUUGCAUGUACCCCUGGAAUAAGGACCGGCUAAUUCCGUGCCAGCAGCCGCGGUAAUACGGAAGGUCCGGGCGUUAUCCGGAUUUAUUGGGUUUAAAGGGAGCGUAGGCGGCCCGUUAAGCGUGCUGUGAAAUGCAGGGGCCCAACCUCUGGAUUGCAGCGUGUACUGGCGAGCUAGAGAGCGGACGACGCAGGCGGAAUUUGUGGUGUAGCGGUGAGAUGCUUAGAUAUCACGAAGAACCCCGAUUGCGAAGGCAGCUUGCGGGAGCGCGACUGACGCUGAAGCUCGAAAGUGCGGGAAUCAAAC